rnacentral:rRNA from 1 species
GAUGAACGCUGGCGGCGUGCCUAAUACAUGCAAGUCGAGCGAACAGAUGAGGAGCUUGCUCCUCUGACGUUAGCGGCGGACGGGUGAGUAACACGUGGAUAACCUACCUAUAAGACUGGGAUAACUUCGGGAAACCGGAGCUAAUACCGGAUAAUAUAUUGAACCGCAUGGUUCAAUAGUGAAAGACGGUUUUGCUGUCACUUAUAGAUGGAUCCGCGCCGCAUUAGCUAGUUGGUAAGGUAACGGCUUACCAAGGCAACGAUGCGUAGCCGACCUGAGAGGGUGAUCGGCCACACUGGAACUGAGACACGGUCCAGACUCCUACGGGAGGCAGCAGUAGGGAAUCUUCCGCAAAGGGCGAAAGCCUGACGGAGCAACGCCGCGUGAGUGAUGAAGGUCUUCGGAUCGUAAAACUCUGUUAUUAGGGAAGAACAAAUGUGUAAGUAACUAUGCACGUCUUGACGGUACCUAAUCAGAAAGCCACGGCUAACUACGUA